rnacentral:rRNA from 1 species
AUCCUGGCUCAGAACGAACGCUGGCGGCAGGCUUAACACAUGCAAGUCGAACGCCCCGCAAGGGGAGUGGCAGACGGGUGAGUAACGCGUGGGAACAUACCCUUUCCUGCGGAAUAGCUCCGGGAAACUGGAAUUAAUACCGCAUACGCCCUACGGGGGAAAGAUUUAUCGGGGAAGGAUUGGCCCGCGUUGGAUUAGCUAGUUGGUGGGGUAAAGGCCUACCAAGGCGACGAUCCAUAGCUGGUCUGAGAGGAUGAUCAGCCACAUUGGGACUGAGACACGGCCCAAACUCCUACGGGAGGCAGCAGUGGGGAAUAUUGGACAAUGGGCGCAAGCCUGAUCCAGCCAUGCCGCGUGAGUGAUGAAGGCCUUAGGGUUGUAAAGCUCUUUCACCGAUGAAGAUAAUGACGGUAGUCGGAGAAGAAGCCCCGGCUAACUUCGUGCCAGCAGCCGCGGUAAUACGAAGGGGGCUAGCGUUGUUCGGAAUUACUGGGCGUAAAGCGCACGUAGGCGGAUAUUUAAGUCAGGGGUGAAAUCCCGCAGCUCAACUGCGGAACUGCCUUUGAUACUGGGUAUCUUGAGUAUGGAAGAGGUAAGUGGAAUUCCGAGUGUAGAGGUGAAAUUCGUAGAUAUUCGGAGGAACACCAGUGGCGAAGGCGGCUUANGGUCCAUU